UUUAUUUUUCCCUACACGGAGACAAAUGCCUUUAGUUUGAAACAACCAUAUGUAUGGUUGAAUAACAAACACACAUUAUGGCUGUUUUAAACUAAUUUUUGUUUGUUUUAAAACCUUGGUUUUGGUUGAAACAGACACUUUUUGUAGUUAAUAACAAACUGACAAAUUAGUUUGAAUACGGCUAAUCUUUGUUUAUUUCAAACAAAAAAAAAUGUUGUUUUUAACAAAAUGUUACAUUGUUUCAAACAAAACAUGGAUUGUUGCAACCAACAAAUUUGCUACACAAUGCAACACAUUAGAACACCGCACUGUAAUCAACUACACGGACCAAGAGAUUUAUUUUCAAUUAUUGAAACACAUAAUCAGGAAAAUCUGUUCAAAACUAGAUUUCACUUCAGUCAGCUGCAGCUGUAUCUGGUACGCAUUCGCCAUGUUUAGCCGAGUUUUUAGUUAUUCCGCUCCUGGACUACUUGCGAUUUAGCGCAGGCAAAGCUUGCAGCAUUCUAAAAGAAAAUAUCUACACUAAACUGGAACCAUUAUGCGUCGAAUAACCAUAAUGCCAUCGAAGGCGACAAGAAACAUCAUCAAUGCCAGCCAUUAUCAACGCGUCGCCGUUGAAACAUCACCGCACAGUCCAACUAGUUGCCGGGCUCCGAAAAUUCAACGACGAUCGGCUUGGUUAUGGAUUUGCCGGAAGACGAUAGCCGCAUGGUUAUGGAUUUUCCGGAAGACAGCGCGCUGUUAAAUGUUAUUCCUUGGUAAAAAUGCUGGUCUUACGAGUAAAAUGCUUAUACAUUAUUCAAUAAAAUAAAUCGAUGAGAUAGAAUAAAACUGUAAAGAACUGAA